GCCGGGCAUGGUGGUGCAUGCCUGUAGUCCCAGCUACUCGGGAGGCUGAGGCAGGAGAAUUGCUUGACCCCAGGAGGCGGAGGUUGCAGUGAGCCAAGAUCACACCACUGCACUCCCGCCUGGGUGACAGAGCAAGACUCUGUCUCAA
rnacentral:SRP_RNA from 1 species